UCUCUCGUAGUUUAGUGGUCACAGCAGUGGUGCGUAAAGCCAAAGGUCCCGGGUUCGAUUCCCGGCGAGAUAA
rnacentral:tRNA from 1 species